rnacentral:rRNA from 1 species
UACGAAGGGGGCUAGCGUUGCUCGGAAUUACUGGGCGUAAAGCGCACGUAGGCGGAUCAUUAAGUCGGGGGUGAAAUCCUGGAGCUCAACUCCAGAACUGCCUUCGAUACUGGCGAUCUUGAGUCCGGGAGAGGUGAGUGGAACUCCGAGUGUAGAGGUGAAAUUCGUAGAUAUUCGGAAGAACACCAGUGGCGAAGGCGGCUCACUGGCCCGGUACUGACGCUGAGGUGCGAAAGCGUGGGGAGCAAACAGG